rnacentral:rRNA from 1 species
UACGGAGGGUGCGAGCGUUAAUCGGAAUAACUGGGCGUAACGGGCACGCAGGCGGGCUUUUAAGUGAGGUGUGAAAUCCCCGGGCUUAACCUGGGAAUAGCAUUUCAGACUGGGAGUCUAGAGUACUUUAGGGAGGGGUAGAAUUCCACGUGUAGCGGUGAAAUGCGUAGAGAUGUGGUGGAAUACCGAAGGCGAAGGCAGCCACUUGGGCAUGUACUGACGCUCAUGUGCGAAAGUGUGGGGAGCAAACAGG